UACGAAGGGGGCUAGCGUUGCUCGGAAUGACUGGGCGUAAAGGGCGCGUAGGCGGAUGGCACAGUCAGAUGUGAAAUUCCCGGGCUUAACCUGGGGGCUGCAUUUGAUACGUGUUGUCUUGAGUUCGGAAGAGGGUCGUGGAAUUCCCAGUGUAGAGGUGAAAUUCGUAGAUAUUGGGAAGAACACCGGUGGCGAAGGCGGCGACCUGGUCCGACACUGACGCUGAGGCGCGAAAGCGUGGGGAGCAGACAGG
rnacentral:rRNA from 1 species